UACGUGCAGAGGAAAUUGGUUUUGUCUAU
rnacentral:piRNA from 1 species